CUGCUCGGGGCAGACAAGGUGCACAUGGGCGUCGAUGCCGCCUGCCGUGAGGAUGAGGUGUUCGCCGGAAAUGGCGUCCGUGGCGUUACCCACCACGAGGUUCGGGUCCACAUUGUCCAUGACGGCGGGAUUGCCCGCCUUGCCUAUGCCCGCGAUGCGGCCGUCGCGUAUGCCCACGUCGGCCUUGAUGACGCCAAGCACAGGGUCGAUGAUGGUGGCGUUGGUGAUGACGAGAUCGAGCACGCCGUUGUCGCGGGGGGAAUGGUCGUCCCCGCCCAUGCCUGCGCG
rnacentral:sRNA from 1 species